UUCAAAAUAAUACAAAACAAUUAGAUACAUUUCGAUACUAUCGAUGGUGACCGAAUAAACACACCACUAGAAUAACCCAACCAGUCCCAGAAAAAGGAAUCUUAUCUAAGAAAAAA